AACGUCAUCAUGGCAGCUCUACGUUUGGACCCAUGUGGAUCAAACCACGGAUCUGUGUCAAAGUACAGUUUCAGGAAACAGUGUUCACUAAAUCGUUUAUUUCCCCUGCAGGGACGCGUCGUACUGUGGUGGACGAGCGGCGAGCCGCGUCUUUAUGCGGGAAACGCGCUCCCGGUGAAAGCAAAGCGAAAGCGAAUCUCAACUCAGCGGCUACGGUUCUCUCCGUUUUUCUUUGCACCAACUCCUCGACAUGUUACACUUGAACAGCGUGAUUUAUAAAUGGUUUAUCUUACUUGUACUUGUUCAGUUUCGUUACUUUCCCAGUUUUUAUUCAUUUUCAUGACUUUUGGAGAUGUUUUUCAUGUUCGUGACUUAUUGAGAUUUUUUUUGUCAUGACUUUCCCUGUUUUUAUUCUUUUUGGUGUCUUUUUGAGAAAUCAUGUUCGGGUAUUUUCAUUUGGAGCCAAAAUCUUGUUCAGUAGCCUAAUACAAGAAAUAAAAACAACUUUUCUUUCUUGUUCUUUUAAUCUGUGUUUUUAUCAAGCGCUGUCGAACUGAAGGUGAGAAUCUGAAAGAACGGGAUUCAAUGAGGCAAACUGAAGAGGAUCCAGCAAGGGGCCAGUGAUGUCCUUCGUGUAGGCCAACAUCAGUUAUCAGUUCAGGAGGAAUCACUUGGCCCGGCUCGCUAGAUCCACCUUUCCAUGAUCCCCCCGUCAGCAUGGGAUGAUUGUCAUGAAACUCUUCCCAUGAUUUCAAGUGCUGCAUCAGGAGGAUGUUGUGAAAAAACAUGUCAGGAUACCUGAUCACUUCAGAGAACAAAACUGCACAUAGUGCAAUGGCGUCUUGGGGAGUCUGUAUAUAACGGUCGACUUUGGCGAGGUUCCCAUUCAUGUAGGACCAAACUGUCUCACUAAAAUGUUUAUUGAACUCUUUUGAUGUUUUCAGUGUUGCAUAACAAAGUCUUUUGUCUGAAAGAUGCAUGUCUUGCUCAUCUUUUUUGAUUGGACGACAGUACAGAUUGUUUGGUCGCAUCUGUAUCGUGAAUUUACCAACUAAAAAGUCAGUGGCCCUCAUGUCCUUUUUAUCCCAAGAUUUAAUGAGAAAACAUAUUAUUGCAGCAUAAUGAGGAAAACUUGUUAUUCUGAUCGGUGCUCGCCAUAUGUUGUCAGCGACUGAGUCCUGGGGAAUGUCUUGAAUUGUUGCAGCAGAACACCCUUCCCAGGAGGUGUACACUUUAGACGCUCCAUCCAGCAUUUUUGCAGAGGGACUUCCAACAUUUGUCCUUAGAUGAAAUAUAUCAAUACCGUCGCUCAGAAAGUUCUUCUCUUUCAUCUUCUCCGGAUGGAAGGACAGAAGGACUUCUAGCUUGUUGUCGUUCCCCUCGAACCUGGACUGCAUGAAUGCCAAAUACAGAGACGUGCGCAGAUAUUUCUUCAGAAGCAGUAGCCGAGAUUUGGCCCAAGUAUUGUUCAGUGGUUAUCAUUAAUAGUUGAAAUCUUCUUCAGUCUUCAUCAGUUAUAGCCGUAAUCUUGUUUGGUCAAUGGGGAAGUUCUCAUUUAGUCUAAGUAUUGUUCAGUGGUUAUCAUUAAUAGUUGAAAUAUUCUUCAGUCUUUAUCCAAAUAUUGUUCAGUGGUUAUCAUUAAUAGUUGAAAUAUUCUUCAGUCUUUAUCACUUACAGUCGUAAUCUUGUUCAGUCAGUGGGACAGUUCUCAUUUAGUUUAAGUAUUGUUCAGUGGUUAUGAUUAAUAGUUUAAAUCUUCUUCAGUCUUCAUCACUUACAGUCGUAAUCUUGUUCGGCCAGUGGGACAGUUCUCAUUUAGCCCACUUAUUGUUUAGGGGUUAUCAUUAAUAAUCGAAAUAUUCUUCAGUCUUUAUCACUUACAGUCGUAAUCUUGUUCAGUCAGUGGGACAGUUCUCAUUUAGUCUAAGUAUUGUUCAGUUAUUUAUCAUUAAUAGUUGAAAUCUUCUUCAGUCUUCAUCAGUUAUAGCCGUAAUCUUUUUUGGUCAAUGGGGAAGUUUUCAUUUAGUCUAAGUAUUGUUCAGUGGUUAUCAUUAAUAGUUGAAAUAUUCUUCAGUCUUUAUCACUUACAGUCGUAAUCUUGUUCGGUCAGUGGGACAGUUCUCAUUUAGCCCACUUAUUGUUUAGGGGUUAUCAUUAAUAAUCGAAAUAUUCUUGGUUCGAAAUCUUGUUCGGUCCACUUGCCCGAACUCAUGUUCAGGGGACGCAGUCA